CAACUUUGAACAUGCUAAAACUUUCAAUAAAAAGCUACAAAAUAUUAAUCCUGGUCCCUCCGCUUUUAAAGAGAUUUGCCAAAUCACGGGAAAAUCGAAAUCACCGUUCUUUCCGCAAAUUGUCCGCGGUAAUGGCAUUCUCACCAAUAGUUCCAAUAUAGUCCAAGAGUUUCAUGAGUUUUACUCAAACACUUUCCGUAGAAGACUUCCCCAACAACCGGUAGAAGAUUUCAAUUCUAGAUUAUUAAACUGUAUAGAUGUCAUCCCUCGCCAUAUUUUUAAUCAAAAGCAUUAUUAAUUCCACAAACAACAAAAAAUCCGGCGACUUCGAUGGAAUCUCCAAUUUUAUAUUAAAAAAGAUUCCCAGACUCCACCUUAAAGUUACUGUCUUGCAUCUUCAACCAAUGUUUAAACAAUAGUUACUUUCCCACAGUUUGGAAAUUAGAAAAAAUAGUUCCUAUUAAAAAUAAAACCGAAUCAAUGACUGGAGCUGAAUAUCGUCCGUUUUAUCUUCUGUCUAAUGUCGGGAAAUUGUUUGAACAAGUCUUAAAAGAGAAAAUUUGAAACUGUUUUGUAAUUGAACCAAUGUCAGAUUACCAAUUCGGCUUUAGAAAAGCGCAUUAAGCACAACAUGCUAUGUUGAAUUUCCAAAACGAUACUGUCACUAAUUUGCGGAAUCAAACAUGUACCGUUGCAAUUUCCUUUGACAUUGAAAAAGCUUUUGAUUCUGUAAACCACCAAGUUUUCUUUCAAAUCGGAGAUUUUGGUUUGAUGUCCUAGGCACCUCAUCGGAUUUCGGCCCUGUUAACAGUGGAGUGCCCCAAGGAAGUGUGCUGGCACCACAUGUUUUUAAUUUCUUCUUAAAUGACUUCCCUCAUAAGCUUUAAAGUAAAAAUGCCUUAUGUAUAUAAGCCGUCGUUUGUUUAUAAACACAAACACAUAAUAAUUACACAUAGUAAUUUUCAUUCAUUAUUUGCUAAUACCAUCCCGCACUGUAUGUCAACAUAAUUUAACAGUCUAUUUGUUAUUUCGUUUUAAAAUGAUAUUUAGUUAUAAGUUUUUUAUUAUUUCGCAGACCAUGGUGCUCUGUAAUUAACAGCAAAGACCGGGAGCAAGCCUUUACAUUCAAUCUUUUGUUUUGAUUCUCAUUCAUAUAUGUAUGUACAUACAAUCAUGUUAGCAUGUAGCGAGUAGACCAAUUCAUCGUGUACUAUAACGAAACAACAAUAAUUCUAUGUUCGUUUGCUUUAAAGUAAUCGAUAACCAUUAUGCAAUACAUUCCAAUGUAAUCGAAAAUAAGAAGACUCAAUAAACAUCACUACUGCUCAA